GGGCUCUGUGGCCCUGCAUCCCUCUUGGAGCCCAGCGCGGGUCACCAGGGUCUGCUGCCGUUUUCUACUGGAAGAAGGCUGGAAGAUGCCGUGACCUCCUCCAACAGCAAGAAGGGUGCUGAUGACCAGGACAGCCCUCCCGUGUCCCUAUCCUGCGACUCCAACCAACGAGAGCGGAGCUCCCAGCUGAGGGCCAGUGGCUUGGUGGCCCCACGCCGAAGUGGUGGCCACUUCAGAGCUGGUUCCCUCAGGAAAGCAAGGAUGCCCUCUGCAGUGGACAGGGGCUCUGAGGCCAGGAUGUGGUCCUCACCCAGGCCGCCACCGUCUCCCCUCCCGACUGUCACACGUCAGCUCAUUUCCACCAGCCACCACCAAGAACACAUCUCCCCAGCCCCAGGGGACCCACAGAGACUCACAGGCACUCAGGAGGCGAGGCCUGAUUCCAAGGCCCGCUCUGUGCUCACACACGGCAGAAACUAGAGACACCUGUCCUGGGGCCUGCAGCCCAGAGACCAGAGCCCCUCAUUUCCUGUGAGGGAGAGCUUAGGACCUCCUUUUUGGAGGACAGGAGGGCAGGCCAGGGGCGUGCUGGGGUGCAGCAGAGCAGCCAGGGCCCAGUGCAAGGCAGCGAAGGGCCGGCAGGGUCUUGAGACCAGGCAGCCAGGAGUUAGGGGCUCGGAACCUGGGGCUCCGUAAGGGCCAAGUGCCUGGAUUUCACCUGUAAGGUGGAACAGGAAGGCUGGAUCCUCACCACCCCUUGGCUCAGCUCUUGGCACGCCAUGUCUGCACCCAAAUCCUGUGUUUGGGGACAUUUUGGUCUAUGGAAGGGGAUGGACAAGGUAAUAAAGUGGGGGGCGGGGGAAUCACAAAAUGUCAAUCCCCCACGGAGGUGAGUGGUCAGAUGGAGGUCAGUUGCAGUCAAGAGGGAUGAUGUCCAGAUGCUUCAGGUCCAGAUGGGAAGCCCCCCUGAGCCCCAAUCUGGCUUCCUGGGAACCAGCGUGGCUGACAGCAGCUUAGGGAAGGCAGCGUGAUGGGAACACCCCCCGCUUCCCAUCACAGGACCCGGUGACCCCCAGAACGGCUGGGAACCGGACCCUCCAGGGAAAUGCCCUCUCCCCGAGGGCCCGUGGACGAGGGAGCCAGCCUGCAGCCCAGCCUUCUCCCUUCCCGGCGGCUCUGCUGUGGGGUCAGCCCAGGAGAGAGCAGAAAGUGGGGCACCGGUGGCCAGACCCCGCCUCCCCCCUCUGGAGCUGCAUGGGACGCCUCUCUUCCCAGCCCACAGCACUUCACUUUCUUCCUUAAAAAGAAAAAAAAAAGUUUUCUAAAUAAAAUAAACAACCCCCCCCC